GAAGAAGAAGAAGAAGAAGAAAAGAUAAGAAGAAGAAACGAUACCCUACUCGAAAGAACAGGAAGCAGCCGUCACAGAGGGAGCCGGUCCAUUGAACACUUCUCUUAGGAUUUUCGCAUUAAAUAAUCAAAACGACGUACGCAAUGAGAGGGGACCGCGGCAGGGGCCGGGGAGGCCGCUUCGGGUCCCGUGGAGGACUGGUCCAGGGGUACCGUCCAUUUGUCCCACACAUCCCAUUUGAUUUUUAUGUGUGUGAGAUGGCCUUCCCCAGAGUGAAGCCUGCACCUGACGAGACGGCUUUCAGUGAGUGUCUGCUGAAUAGAAACCAUGACCUGAGCCCCACACCUGCAGAGCAGUCCUCCAUCUUGUCCCUGGUCACAAAGAUCAACAAUGUCAUUGACAACCUGAUUGUUGCACCUGGAAACUUUGAAGUGCAAAUUGAAGAGGUGCGUCAGGUGGGCUCUUACAAGAAGGGCACCAUGACAACAGGACACAAUGUUGCUGACCUGGUUGUAAUCCUCAAGAUCCUCCCUACACUGGAGGCAGUUGCAGCUCUUGGCAACAAAGUAGUGGAGACCCUUCGCACACAGGACCCUACUGAAGUGCUGUCCAUGCUGACCAAUGAGACAGGCUUUGAGAUCAGUUCAGCUGAUGCUACCGUCAAGAUCCUCAUCACCACCGUCCCUCCCAACCUGCGCAAGCUGGACCCUGAGCUGCACUUGGACAUCAAGGUGCUGCAGAGUGCCCUUGCUGCCAUCCGCCACGCCCGCUGGUUUGAGGAGAACGCCUCUCAGUCAAUGGUCAAAGUGCUCAUCCGCCUGCUGAAGGACCUGAGGCUGCGCUUCCCUGGUUUUGAACCCCUCACCCCCUGGAUCCUGGACCUGCUGGGCCACUCUGCAGUGAUGAACAACCCGUCCAGGCAGCCCCUGUCCCUGAACGUGGCCUACAGGCGCUGCCUGCAGAUGCUGGCUGCUGGUCUCUUUCUGCCCGGCUCUGUGGGCAUCACUGACCCCUGUGAGAGUGGAAACUUCAGAGUGCACACAGUCAUGACUCUGGAACAGCAGGACAUGGUGUGUUUCACAGCUCAGACACUGGUGAGGGUGCUCUCGCAUGGAGGUUACAGGAAGAUCCUGGGCCUUGAGGGAGAUGCCAGCUACCUGGCAACAGAGAUGUCUACAUGGGAUGGUGUGAUUGUCACUCCAUCAGAGAAGGCAUAUGAGAAACCUCCAGAGAGGAAGGAGGAGGAAGAUGAAGCUCUGGAGGAGGGAGGAGAUGGAGAGGAUGAGAGCAUGGAGACCCAGGAGUGAUGAGGAGUUCAGGUUGGAGCAUGUCCACAAUCUACCGCCUGCAACACAGAAUGAUUGUUGGUAAGUUUAUUGAAGAAGUCCUUUCAGCUGGGCCAUGGUGUGUACUUACGAUGUUACCUGGACAGAAACACCAGUGGGAAAAAUGUUCCACCCAAUAGCCACUGGUCCCCUGAAGUGUUCAGAAAAGGCACUGGCCUCAUUUGUCAUUAUGUUUUUACUUCCUCUUUGUAACAGUAACAUGCUGAAUUAAACCUUUUGUUUUGCUA